GCCGAAGUGGCGGAAUUGGCAGACGCGUUGGAUUCAAAAUCCAAUGGGCCUUGUGCUCGUGUGGGUUCGACUCCCACCUUCGGCACCA
rnacentral:tRNA from 3 species